rnacentral:rRNA from 1 species
UACGUAGGUGGCAAGCGUUGUCCGGAUUUACUGGGCGUAAAGAGCGCGCAGGCGGUCGUUCAAGUCGCGUGUGAAAGCCCCCGGCUCAACUGGGGAGGGUCACGCGAUACUGAUCGACUCGAAGGCAGGAGAGGGUAGUGGAAUUCCCGGUGUAGUGGUGAAAUGCGUAGAUAUCGGGAGGAACACCGGUGGCGAAGGCGGCUUGCUGGGCCUUACCUGACGCUGAGGAGCGAAAGCGUGGGGAGCGAACAGG